CUCAAGAAAUAUUCUUACAGUAUUGUUGUAUAAAAGACCAACUACAGUGAAAGCCAAAUGUUUUUUUUUUUCUUUUGAAUUAGCUUUUUAUGUAUUAUACAAGGGACAGCAUCUGGGAGAACAGCAAGUCUAACUUGGCAAACAGAGGAGCAAAGAAACAGCAAAUAAUAAAAGGAAGGAAAGAGAGCAGGAUGUGGCAUUCACUUUAUAGUCUCAAUCACCUUCUGCCACACAAAUACAUGUUUAUGAAUACUGACAUGAACAACAAGGCCACAUUCAAACAAACAGCACAAAAUUAUAUUUUAAGGGUGCCAAAUAAUAUGUAAUGUAAACUCUUGGUCUGGCAUAGUAAUUAAUUAUGGAUUGCCAUAUAGAAAUUUGUAACAGAAUACUGUCAUGAAUGUGGUAGCCUUGUUUAGGGUGAAAAGACAAAGACAAUAUACAAACAAAAUAUAUGGAAUAUAAAGUAUUAAGACAAAGGACUAAAAUAAUUGAGAAAUGUAAAGCAUGCACACUGAUAUGAAGAAAAAAACACAAUGUCAGCCAAUGUCUUACACAAAGAAAAAAUAUGUUUCUGUUUGUUCACUGUUGUGCUACACCUCUAAGAACCAACUAAUACCCAACAAAAUGCACUGAUGUGCACUGCUGCUUUGUUAUCAAAAAAUAACAUUAUCAGGUAGGCUGGACAUAGUAUGCCAAAAUCCAGACAAAAUGAUUUGUUAAAAAAAAUAAUAAAGAUGCAUAACUAUAUUCUACCAGAAGAACUGUAAUGAAAAUUGAUACGUUCAUCAGGCCAGGAAAGUCAGUGGUCGUCGUUUAAAAGUACUACUUCGUCAAGCAAACUGAUUAUAGCUGGUGGCAAGAAAUGACAACAAGCCACUCAGAGGUAUUACUUUUUCAGGCUAAAUGUAAUAUAAUGUCACUAUUGAACAGAAAUUGCAUGGGCAGUGAGGUCCCAUGUUAUCAGUUAAGACACUAACAUACAGGGAAUGCUAAAGUUUGUUAAUAGUUUGCUCUCUGUAUUUUCUCUGCUCACUACCGAAGACUAAACACAACAAAAUUUGGGCUUUCAGUAAAGCUAGAGUUUGCCACUCGCCUUUGUAGAAUUGCAUGUGAUAAUCUAGUCAAACUAAAAUGGGUUCCUUCUUAAGUAUUAGUACUCAGUACUUGUGAUUUCAGUCAGUAGCAGAAGCUAGGCUAAACUACAACAAUUCAAAUGUAGGUAGUUUUGACUCCUUUUGUGACCAGUGGCAAAAAAUAAAUAUAAAUAAUACAUCUUUAGUUUAAAUGGGGCACAAGUGACAAAUAUGUUGAGCAUAAAUAUUAAAACUUAACAAAUAAAUUGUGAUGCAUCAAUCCAUCUUUUUGGUGUUUCUGCUGAUACCUGAUAUUGGCCGAUACCAGGGCAGAGACUGAAGGAAGAAUUUUUUUUACAAUUUGUCCGUAUUUGAUCAUAAAUCCGAUCCAAAUAUGUUAUGUAACUGUAAAUGGUUUAUUCCUAAUUUAAUUAUGGAUCAGCGGUGUAUAAAUAAAAGUGCAAACAUUAUGAGACAUUCUGGGGCAGAAAAUAGUCAUUAAUUGUUUGGCCUAACCUUGAAACAAUAUCCUUUAUCCAAUACCAGAUUCAGUACAUUUUUCUGCACCGAGCACUGGUGCACCCUUAAAGAAAAUACAGCUUCUUAACGCCCAAAUACUUGAUACCAUAUACCUCAUUAUGGAAUUGCCAAACUUAGCAAGGCGGAGUGCUGAAUGUAACAAUAUCCAAAUCUCACAGUACAUGGGAGCUAGCCAUUCAAAAUAUUGUAACAGUCCUAUUAUUACAUCUCUACUUCAAUGGAGACACUGGCAAACUAUAGAUCAACUGAAAAGCUGCAUACGUAUCUUUGAAAUUGCUUAGCUUUCCCUUUAGACAUAAUUUCAUCAAUAACAGAAUAAAUAAAAAACAAAAACAAUUGCUGUUACAAUGCAUUCGUCAAUUCAGUUUAGGCACAAGGCAAUUUCCACAUACACUUGGAGGAGAUUGCAAAGUCUCUGAUUGUUCAGAAGCAACACACUUCUUGCAGACAUUGAUAUGUGCUUAAGUUUUUUCUGGGGACAUUUUUGCAGUUGGAAAACUAGAUGUGAGAUUCCACUUCAGUCUUGGAUUGGUUUACAUUAGUCUCAGUUUUACUUCAAGUGGUCUGUCUCCUCCAAUUGUUGUCACAAAGUCCUUUCUGUCACCAGGAACCUAGGUUCCCAUCUCAAACUGGAAACUAUUUGUCUGCAUGACAUUGAUCU
ensembl:lncRNA